rnacentral:SRP_RNA from 1 species
CGGUAGGUAGGGCCGGAGGGCUCGGCCUCCUCUGCUCUACAAACGGUCGUGAAGGUAGGGCCAGCAACUCUGGGAGGCGGCAAAACCGUCGGCAGUGCUGAUGGAUGCGCAGCGUGGAAGUCUCGCCCUGUGGGGGCGUUGGAGCGGUCAAGAUCCGUCCGGAAGGAAGGGUCUCCCGCUAGCUAGGCGAAACGGGUUAGGCCCGGAAGGGAGCGGCCCUAAGCCUGGACAGUGCCGUUCACAGGAAAACGGGAUGGAUGCUGGGCAUCCAAAGGCGCUGCUGCAUAGGCUGCCCACUCCUGGAGAGCUACCG